CUCAGGCAGAAAAAAAAUAAAUAAAUAAACCAGACAGGCCCAUGACUCAGUUAGCAGAUGCCCACACAAAGAUAGGGUGGCCAACCGUACUGAUUUGUUUGCCCAGGACUGUCCCAGUUUUAGCAUUGAAAGUCCCACCUUCCAGGAAACCCCGGUCCCGAGCAAACCAGGCCGGUUGGUCGCCCUACUUGCCAAUCUCGCCUGUUGACAGCAAAGCCAGAGACAGGAGAGCCACACCCCCGCGCUUUGCUCCAGCAACAGGGAACUGCCUGUUUCCCUGCUGACUUUAACCUCCUUCCCUUUACCCACAGGGCCGCCCUUCCCCUUCCCAGCCCCCUAACUUACCUGUCGCCCUGUCAUCCUCCAGGCAUCACUCCCCGUCCAAGGCCUUCCGUCACUCCUCUGGCGCAGUAGCAGGCUGAUGUCACCCACAGAACAUAAUGGAUUCUAGGAACAGGCCCACAAGAGGAAAAGUGGGCAAGUACAAAUAUAGGAUGUUUGUUCUGAGAAAACUAAAAAUACUUUGUUUAAAUUGGAUCACAUUUUACCAGUUAAGUGAACCUUACCAGGUAAGUCUCCAGGUUUGGAUAUUAACUCCUUCUAUUUGGGAUUUUUCCCCCCUAAAUUUCUCCCUUCAGUAGAAGGUGUUCACUUUUAUCAACAGUGAUUUCAUAAACCAUUCAAAGUCUGACAAAACUGCCAUCGGAGCACCAUUGCUGUCAUUCAUUUUCCAAGACCCUGUGUCUUAUUCUCAGCAUUACAUGCGUUCUAUGAUGAUAAGUUGGGUUAUCAGAAAGGAGUCACUGGGAACAUGUGAGAAGAGAAAAAACCAGAAGUAGUAACAUUAAAAUAAUCAAACUUUUACUCUCAAACAGAUAAUAAAUGAAUUGCCUAGCUGUACAAUUAUGGACCAAAUAUAUGUAAAAAUUAUACAAAUGAGCAUGUGUUUCCUCCUGUUUUAUAGCUUGACCCCAUAAAUCAUAGGCCUCAAAAAAAUCCCAGUACAGAGCCUUUCCCUAAAGAAGUUAAUAUCACCCAUUUUAGGCAAAUUUGUCUAGGAUCAUAUGGCAAAGUCAGGCUCAGCCAAAAAUUGAAGCCACUAAUGCUGAUGCCAAGCUGAUUAAAUGUUUCCUUAAAUAUCUAACUUGUCUAUCAAAUGCUGUUUUAAGUAUCUGAAGACUAGUACUCAGACUCUUACGCUAUUUAAGCUUCAGUUCUCCAAGGCUGUCUGCUUUUGCUGCAUUUUGCAUAAACGCCAUUUUUUUCCUCCAUUUGAGUUAAUUUUCCAGGUUCUCCUCAAAUAAUCCUUGGCCUUCUGAAACAAAAGCUUACAGAAACAGGAUAAACAGUUUGAACUCUGACUUUUGUUUUCAUUUGUGAGAACGUGAUUUUUUUUUCAACUUUCUAAUCACAGUCAUAAAAUUAAGCCUGGUUUUCAGAACGAAGUUUACCUGAUUCUCAAGUCCCGUAUCUUCAAAAAUUGCACAUUUGAUGGCAAAAUACAAAAUCUGUCUGAAAAGGUCUUGUUUUACUGUUAGCAUUCGAGAAGAGACUUCUACUUCAAGAAAAUCAAAGGAUUGUUUCUCACCCUAAAGGAAAACUAUGUUGGAAAGCUUGGCAAAAUUAUACCUGGUCAUUUAUAAUUUUUCAUUAGACACCUGGGAAAUGUUCUUCACUAAAAGAAACCUUUUAAAAUUCCUAAAGAAUUAGGCUCCUUGCUCACCAGUAUUAUGAGAACAUUGACCCAAAUCUGGGACUGAGGAACCAAAUGCCACUUUUCCCCCUUGCCCGCCGUCCCACUAAACAUACUGUACAAAUUACCAGUCACCAACUGUCCAUCAGUGUCCAAACUGCCAUUGCUGAGAACGAUUUAUUACACAGCAUCGAUUAUCAGGGACAGUAACACAAAUAACUUUUGCUUUCUGGAAAACGUUUGCCAUAGGAAAAAAUAUACUCACAAGUGUACAAAAAGAAAAAUUCAAUUCCUGUAAAUGUGGAUGUACAUAACCAGAGCUGAAUUUUUUUCAUGAAGAGUUUGAAUAUAUAAAACUCUUGAAUCUACAUUAAAAACUAAACCAUGAAGAAAUAUCCCAAAAAGUAGGUAUUAGUUUACAUGACACAAUAUGAAAUGUAUCUAAGUGUCAUUCUCUGAUAACACCCAUCUAUAUUCAUGUCUCCCUCCCUCAUUCCUUUUGUAUUUAAAACCUGACAUGUCAAUUAACACCUUACAUAAAUUGUAUUUCAUAGCAUUUAUUAGCUGAGUGUUGAAAUCAUAUUGAUUAUGUCACCAUAAGAUGUUCUAUAGAAUAAUCUUGUUUAUUAAUCACUUGAGGUCUCUGUAACUUGUUUCUGAAUGAGAUUGUCAGAUCUGUGUUGACAGAGCUCUGUCUAGCAGUUCUUUUUCCCCCACGGAGCUAAAAAUAUCAGAGUAGCACAGCGAGCUGCCUCUCUACCAGCCUCCCAGACUGGGGACCCUAGCUCCGUGAUCCCCUUCCUCCAGAAUAAUGUGGAGGCACAGGGUCACCCAGUUAGACUUCAUUUUCCAAGUCUACCCUGCAACUAGAAGUGGCUUGCCAGUGUAUUUUCAGAAGUAAUGUGUACAAUUUCCAUGUUUCUUGCUUAAGAGGAAAUGGCUAUGGGGAGAGGUUGAUCAACUGGUACAAAGUUGCAGUUAGGUGAGAGGAAUCAGUUCUGGUGUUCCAUUGCACAGCAGGGUGACUGUGGCUAACAAUAAUGCAUCGUAUAUUUCAAACUAACUAGAAGAGAGGAUUUUGAAUGCUUUACCACAAAGAAAUGAUAAAUGUUUGAGAUGAUGGAUUUGCUAAUUACUCUGAUUUCAUCAUUACACAAUGCACACAUGUGUCAAAACCUUUCAUUUUUAUCCCAUGAAUAUGUACACUUACCAUAUGACAAUCGAAGUUAAAAUAAAAUUUUAUUUUAAAAAUGGCUUACUCUCCUUACUCUCAUGUCCACUUUUCACCCUUUUCCACAAGCUUUUUUUUUUUUUUUUGUCUUUUCCCAAAAGCAAUUUCCCAAGUAUUUGAGGGUCCUUUUUUUUCACAGUAGCUUAGCCUAUGGCCUAAUAUACACAGCUUAUUGUAUAAUACUUGCCUCUAUUUCAUGUCCAUUAUGCUUAUUGAUUUAUAUAUAUAUGUCCCCCUUAUUAGACUAUAUAUUACUUGUAAGCAAUGUAUGUUUCUUAUUCAUCCUUCUCUCUAGCACUUAAAGUUCACCUAGCAUACGAUAAAUGCUGAAUAAAUGCCAGUUGAAUAAAUAAAUGAACCAAUCACCUUCUUCAAUUAGCAAAUGGAUAUACUAUGUAUUAAGGCAAAUUUAGAUACAAUCUCUAUGCCUGCAUAUUUCUCAGAAAUUUGAAAGCUUUAACCAUAUUAUCUGGAGUUCAACUUCAAUGUUGAACUUCAAGCUUUAUAACAUAAACUUGAUUUGCCCCUUAUAGGUCAAAUCAACUUUUACUGAACUAUUUUUUACCUACCACAUUGGCCAAGAUGGGAAAGGCUGAUAACACACAGUGUUAAGCUGGAAAGAUUGUGGGCUAAUAGGCACUCUCAUCCCCUGUUGAUGGUGGUAUAUAGCAGUAUAACUUGUUUUUUCCUGUGAAUAUCUUCACAAAUGUACUCAAGAACAAUUGUAUGUCUUGUGGAUGCGCAUGGCAUUACUUAUAAGAGCAAAACCAACCAAAAUGCCCUUCAUUAGAAAAGCUGUUAAAACGAACGAAGGUACAUCGUCACAAAAAAUACUCUGCUAAGAGUAAAAAGAAUGAGGCAGGUCAACCUGUUCUAUAGCAAUUGCUCUUAGGUAUAUUAUUAAGUGAUAAAGAAUGAUACAAAAUAGUAUACUCCUACAUGUGUUCUUGCAAAUACAUAUCUAGGGAUACGUCAUAUGUGCAUAGACAACUUUCAAGGACUCUAGAAAAAAAACUGUAAUUCUGGGGGGCUGUCUGGGCCUGAAGAAUACUUUCUGCAUGUUUCAAUUUUACUUUUACUCCAUGAAUAUGUCACUUUUUUCAGUAGUUUUACCACUUCAUACCCAUUAUGACAAAACAGAUAAUAGCAAGUGUACAUGACAGUGUAGGGAAAUUGGAGCCCUCACACAUUGCUGGUUGGAAUGUAAAAUCGUACAGCCAUUUGGCAGUUCCUGGAAGUGCUAAAUAUAGGGUUACCAUAUGACUCAGAAAUUUCUCUAUUAGGCAUAUACUCAAGAGAAUUAAAGAUGUGUGUCCACAC
rnacentral:lncRNA from 1 species